UACGUAGGUGGCAAGCGUUGUCCGGAAUUAUUGGGCGUAAAGCGCGCGCAGGUGGUUCCUUAAGUCUGAUGUGAAAGCCCACGGCUCAACCGUGGAGGGUCAUUGGAAACUGGGGAACUUGAGUGCAGAAGAGGAAAGUGGAAUUCCAAGUGUAGCGGUGAAAUGCGUAGAGAUUUGGAGGAACACCAGUGGGGAAGGCGACUUUCUGGUCUGUAACUGACACUGAGGCGCGAAAGCGUGGGGAGCAAACAGG
rnacentral:rRNA from 1 species